UUAUUUUCCCUUUGUUGCAGUUAACUGUACUGGAUCAUCUCGACAGAGAAGAAUAAAAUACAGGGUUGAAGUUAUCGUUGCGGAUUUUGACAUUGACUGGAUGUACUGGAUCAUCUCUGCUGCUCAGAAGAAACAAACUGGUUGUCUAUGCAGUGCGGGUGUAUUACAAAUGUUUGCGAAAAAGUGGUGUCUGUAGAUAUUUAGGAAACUGUGCUGGAUUAUCUUGACUCGGAAGACUUAAAUACAGGGUUGAAGUUCUCGUUGCAGAUUUUGACAUGAAAUGGAGGAUGUACUGGAUCAUCUCUGCUGCUCAGAAGAAACAAACUGCUAGUCUAUGCAGUGCGGGUGUAUUACAAAUGUUUGUGAAAAAGUGGUGUCUGUAGAUAUUUAGGUGAGGAUACCAUGAAAAGCCUUCCCUUUUUCCUUUAGUGUUUGUCUUUUUUUACUAGGAUGCCUCUAAUAUACGUAUUGCACUUCUGGGGAACUUUGUCGUCCCAGAUUGUACUUGUGUAAGUGGAUGGUAAAUGAUUCAUAUUCUGAAGAAUUAGGGGCAGGUGCUGUCCUCUGUGAAAUGGGUAUUCGAUUUUUGUUGGAAGUUUCUCCAACACAUUUGUGUUCAGUCGGAAUUCACCCAUGGUCAACUCCUUUAAGAAUGAAUAGAUUGGUUAAAAAUUGAUACCAAUAUGGCAGCAGUAAAUUAUAAAUAUAUAUUUCUUCAAAAUAAGG